rnacentral:rRNA from 1 species
UGGGGAAUUUUGGACAAUGGGCGAAAGCCUGAUCCAGCAAUGCCGCGUGUGUGAAGAAGGCCUUCGGGUUGUAAAGCACUUUUGUCCGGAAAGAAAUCCUUGGCUCUAAUACAGUCGGGGGAUGACGGUACCGGAAGAAUAAGCACCGGCUAACUACGUGCCAGCAGCCGCGGUAAUACGUAGGGUGCAAGCGUUAAUCGGAAUUACUGGGCGUAAAGCGUGCGCAGGCGGUUUGCUAAGACCGAUGUGAAAUCCCCGGGCUCAACCUGGGAACUGCAUUGGGUGACUGGCAGGCUAGAGUAUGGCAGAGGGGGGUAGAAUUCCACGUGUAGCAGUGAAAUGCGUAGAGAUGUGGAGGAAUACCGAUGGCGAAGGCAGCCCCCUGGGCCAAUACUGACGCUCAUGCACGAAAGCGUGGGGAGCAAACAGGAUUAGAUACCCU